rnacentral:rRNA from 1 species
AUUGAACGCUGGCGGCAGGCCUAACACAUGCAAGUCGAGCGGAUGAAGGGAGCUUGCUCCUGGAUUCAGCGGCGGACGGGUGAGUAAUGCCUAGGAAUCUGCCUGGUAGUGGGGGAUAACGUCCGGAAACGGGCGCUAAUACCGCAUACGUCCUGAGGGAGAAAGGGGGGGAUCUUCGGACCUCACGCUAUCAGAUGAGCCUAGGUCGGAUUAGCUAGUUGGUGGGGUAAAGGCCUACCAAGGCGACGAUCCGUAACUGGUCUGAGAGGAUGAUCAGUCACACUGGAACUGAGACACGGUCCAGACCCCAACGGGAGGCAGCAGUGGGGAAUAUUGGACAAUGGGCGAAAGCCUGAUCCAGCCAUGCCGCGUGUGUGAAGAAGGUCUUCGGAUUGUAAAGCACUUUAAGUUGGGAGGAAGGGCAGUAAGUUAAGACCUUGCUGUUUGGACGUUACCAACAGAAUAAGCACCGGCUAACUUCGU